GAUGAAGAACGUAGCGAAAUGCGAUAAGUAAUGUGAAUUGCAGAAUUCAGUGAAUCAUCGAAUCUUUGAACGCACAUUGCGCCCGCCAGUAUUCUGGCGGGCAAGCCUGUUCGAGCGUCAUUACAACCCUCAGGCCCCCGGGCCUGGCGUUGGGGAUCGGCGGAGCCCCCCGUGGGCACACGCCGUCCCCCAAAUGCAGUGGCGGUCCCGCCGCAGCUUCCAUCGCGUAGUAGCUAACACCUCGCGACUGGAGAGCGGCGCGGCCACGCCGUAAAACACCCAACUCUUCUGAAGUUGACCUCGAAUCAGGUAGGAAUACCCGCUGAACUUAAGCAUAUCAAUAAGCGGAGGA
rnacentral:misc_RNA from 1 species